UACAUGUGCAAUGAGUGCGAGUCACCAUCUGACCCAGGUGGGAAAGAGCAACACAGAGAAGACUGCAGGUGACAGGUGCAUGGUGGAAACUUUCUUUCUGGUGGUUCCACAACUUCAUAUUCAAUUUAAUCCCCUAUCUCAUUACUGGAUAGAUUUCAUCGUGCAGAACAAGCUGUCUGGCAAAGGCAAGAGACAAGUGAAAGGGAAGAGGAGAGAAAAACAGAGAAGUGGAUAAAGGGCUCAAGAAGUUCAGCAGUCUGGGCAACAUGGCAGGGUGGAGAGAACCCAGAAGAUCCUGCCAGCCACUGGGAGAACCUUCGCUGGAGUACAGGCAUUUACGUGUGUCCGAAUGCGGCUACACCAACAUGACUGUGAACUGAAGACCUCCAUGGAGUUUUUAGCUUACUUCAUGCAGGGGAAAGGAACUAACAUUUAUAAAGAACCUACUGAAACACGCUUCAUGUUAGCUUAUCUCAUUUAAUCUCAGAAGAGCCCUCAAAGGUAAAUAUUAUUUUCAUUUGACACAGAAAACUGAGGCUGGGCUAGGGUUGUGACUCAGUGGUAGAGCGCUUACAUAGCAUGUGUGAGGCACUGGAUUCAAUCCUCAGCACCACGUUUAAAUAAAUAAAUAAAUAAAUAAAACAAAGAUUUUUUUUAAAAAGUCAAUGUAAAAAUGAAUUUAAAAAAAGAAAAAGAAAACUGAGGCUCAGACAGGUUUAAGUAACUUCUCAAUGUCACACAGCUGAUAAGUGUCAAAACAGGGAUUCUGCUUCAGGUCCACUGAGUCUGAC